UACGUAGGUGGCAAGCGUUGUCCGGAUUUACUGGGCGUAAAGAGCGCGUAGGCGGUCGUUCAAGUCGAGUGUGAAAGCCCCCGGCUCAACUGGGGAGGGUCACUCGAUACUGAUCGACUCGAAGGCAGAAGAGGGAAGCGGAAUUCCCGGUGUAGUGGUGAAAUGCGUAGAUAUCGGGAGGAACACCAGUGGCGAAGGCGGCUUUCUGGCCUGUUCUUGACGCUGAGGCGCGAAAGCUAGGGGAGCAAACGGG
rnacentral:rRNA from 1 species